rnacentral:rRNA from 1 species
GCAGUCGAGCGGUAGCACAGAGAGCUUGCUCUCGGGUGACGAGCGGCGGACGGGUGAGUAAUGUCUGGGAAACUGCCUGAUGGAGGGGGAUAACUACUGGAAACGGUAGCUAAUACCGCAUAAUGUCGCAAGACCAAAGUGGGGGACCUUCGGGCCUCAUGCCAUCAGAUGUGCCCAGAUGGGAUUAGCUAGUAGGUGGGGUAACGGCUCACCUAGGCGACGAUCCCUAGCUGGUCUGAGAGGAUGACCAGCCACACUGGAACUGAGACACGGUCCAGACUCCUACGGGAGGCAGCAGUGGGGAAUAUUGCACAAUGGGCGCAAGCCUGAUGCAGCCAUGCCGCGUGUGUGAAGAAGGCCUUCGGGUUGUAAAGCACUUUCAGCGGGGAGGAAGGCGUUAAGGUUAAUAACCUUGUCGAUUGACGUUACCCGCAGAAGAAGCACCGGCUAACUCCGUGCCAGCAGCCGCGGUAAUACGGAGGGUGCAAGCGUUAAUCGGAAUUACUGGGCGUAAAGCGCACGCAGGCGGUCUGUCAAGUCGGAUGUGAAAUCCCCGGGCUCAACCUGGGAACUGCAUUCGAAACUGGCAGGCUAGAGUCUUGUAGAGGGGGGUGGAAUUCCAGGUGUAGCGGUGAAAUGCGUAGAGAUCUGGAGGAAUACCGGUGGCGAAGGCGGCCCCCUGGACAAAGACUGACGCUCAGGUGCGAAAGCGUGGGGAGCAAACAGGAUUAGAUACCCUGGUAGUCCACGCCGUAAACGAUGUCGAUUUGGAGGUUGUGCCCUUGAGGCGUGGCUUCCGGAGCUAACGCGUUAAAUCGACCGCCUGGGGAGUACGGCCGCAAGGUUAAAACUCAAAUGAAUUGACGGGGGCCCGCACAAGCGGUGGAGCAUGUGUUUAAUUCGAUGCAACGCGAAGAACCUUACCUGGUCUUGACAUCCACAGAACUUUCCAGAGAUGGAUUGGUGCCUUCGGGAACUGUGAGACAGGUGCUGCAUGGCUGUCGUCAGCUCGUGUUGUGAAAUGUUGGGUUAAGUCCCGCAACGAGCGCAACCCUUAUCCUUUGUUGCCAGCGGUCCGGCCGGGAACUCAAAGGAGACUGCCAGUGAUAAACUGGAGGAAGGUGGGGAUGACGUCAAGUCAUCAUGGCCCUUACGACCAGGGCUACACACGUGCUACAAUGGCAUAUACAAAGAGAAGCGACCUCGCGAGAGCAAGCGGACCUCAUAAAGUAUGUCGUAGUCCGGAUUGGAGUCUGCAACUCGACUCCAUGAAGUCGGAAUCGCUAGUAAUCGUAGAUCAGAAUGCUACGGUGAAUACGUUCCCGGGCCUUGUACACACCGCCCGUCACACCAUGGGAGUGGGUUGCAAAAGAAGUAGGUAGCUUAACCUUC